rnacentral:rRNA from 1 species
AGGCCAUUGCUAUUGGAGUCCGAUUUAGCCAUGCUAGUUGUACGAGUUCAGACUCGUAGCAGAUAGCUCAGUAACACGUGGCCAAACUACCCUCUGGAGCGCGACAACCUCGGGAAACUGAGGCUAAUCGCGCAUACCGCUCUCAGGCUGGAACUGCCGAGAGCUCGAAACGCCCCGGCGCCAGAGGAUGUGGCUGCGGCCGAUUAGGUAGACGGUGGGGUAACGGCCCACCGUGCCAGUAAUCGGUACGGGUUGUGAGAGCAAGAGCCCGGAGACGGUAUCUGAGACAAGAUACCGGGCCCUACGGGGCGCAGCAGGCGCGAAACCUUUACACUGCACGCCAGUGCGAUAAGGGGACUCCAAGUGCGAGGGCAUAGAGCCCUCGCUUUUCUGUACCGUAAGGUGGUACGAGAAUAAGUGCUGGGCAAGACCGGUGCCAGCCGCCGCGGUAAUACCGGCAGCACGAGUGAUGGCCGCUCUUAUUGGGCCUAAAGCGUCCGUAGCUGGCCGCGCAAGUCCAUCGGGAAAUCCGCACGCCUAACGUGCGGGCGUCCGGUGGAAACUGCGUGGCUUGGGACCGGAAGAUCCAGAGGGUACGUCCGGGGUAGGAGUGAAAUCCUGUAAUCCUGGACGGACCACCGGUGGCGAAAGCGCUCUGGAAAGACGGAUCCGACGGUGAGGGACGAAAGCUCGGGUCACGAACCGGAUUAGAUACCCGGGUAGUCCGAGCUGUAAACGAUGUCUGCUAGGUGUGCCACAGGCUACGAGCCUGUGGUGUGCCGUAGGGAAGCCGUGAAGCAGACCGCCUGGGAAGUACGUCCGCAAGGAUGAAACUUAAAGGAAUUGGCGGGGGAGCACUACAACCGGAGGAGCCUGCGGUUU